GUCAUUGUUAGGUGGUAUGGAAGAGGAGCCAUGGGAACACAUAGCCAUAAACUACUGCCACUGAGAUUCGCGUUGGCGGUGGACUCUGGCCAAAGUCACAGGGUCACAGCUUCGAAACAGGUUGGCUCUGGUGUAACCAGGGUGUGGCGUUUCUUCUAAUGCCAUCAGAGGGAAAGUGAAGAUGGCCUGGUAUUCUUCUGCAAGGCCCAGGUUCUCUGAGAAAGGGGGUAGAGGGAGUCCCAGAUGUUCUAAAACAAUAAAAUAAAACAGGCAAGCAGAAGCCAGGUGCCAAAGUCAGGCCUGGAGACUUUAAUGUCCAGCUAGAUGGAGUGGCUUUAUGACAGACAGACCCUGGCACCGAUCAGGCCUUUGUGAAUGGCCACACAAGCCCUGCUGAAUCCUGCUUCUUGCUGAUGAGGAGAAGGGCCAGUCCUGCCCAUUCAUGGCCUCCUGCCUGGUUGAGGUGGUUCCUGACCACCGCUACUCAGUCCAUGCAGCUGGCUACUGAGGGGGCAGGGGAGGCUAUUAAGCUGGGCUAACCUACUUCUCCACUCCAGCGCUUUCUGGCUUUUGGUCAUGGUAGUUCUAAGCUUGUGUCAUUCUGUAUAGGCCUCACAUCUGGGAGCAAUAAGGGUCGUUUGGGAGCCUCAGGGUCAGUUCACGUGGCCCAGGGGAGGACCUGAGGCUCAAGGCUCCCAGGGCAUGGCCCUGCCCUCUGGAGAUUCUUGCUUCAGUAGCUCUGUUGCUGCCACCUCGACUUCCUCUGGUUCCAUCUGGCAGGCAUCUGCCAGGGCCUGGCCUGUUGCCAUGACGAAGUUAGCAUCUGCUGCUAAGGAGUCUAGUCCUCCUCGAACCAGAGCCUGCAGUGGGAGGAGGAUGUUGGGUGGGUCUUCCAGGCAAAUUGUCUUCUGCACCCCACCCCCAUUGGUCCUACUCUUCCCCCAACAACAGACUAUUACAAGGCCACCCCUGAGUAUGCCGCUCUGUUCCAGCCCCACCUCACCUCCUGGAUCAGCACGGCAGUAGCUGUAGCUGUGCACCUGUGAGUUGAAUUCCUGGGAACGUGCUCCUCAAAGUUCCUGCUGUUGGGUGUUUCCAGAGACCGUGACGUGGGGCCCUUUCCCUCUUUCUGCACAGGAUGCUCUGCCUGGGAGAGCUGUCUCAACCACAGAAAAGCAAAGACGCCCCCAAAAGAGAUAUGCUAGAACUAACAGACACACUGGAGCCCAUAGCUCAUCCAAGGGAGUCUCCGCUAAGACCCACAGACUGAGGAAGAUGCAGGAACACAGGACCCUUCUGUUAUGAAUGAGCUGCUACCUACAGGGCCCUUCCCCUGCCAGGCCAAGCAGGGUCUAUAUGGCACUUCCUCCCAGGCUUUUGCCCCUGUUACCUGGCACAGGGAAGGAGGCACUUGGCCUUCAGGCAUUCUUCUCUGGGUCAUCUGUCUUUUCAGUUUGUCUACAUGGGAUCUGCUGUGAGGUCCUGUGGGCCAAGGAAGGCAAGGUCAGUGGGGCUGCCGACCCCUGAUGGGCGGAGUCAUCAGAGCCUUGCUUGGGCAGCUACAGCAGGUAGUUGAGAAGGUAGACACACGUUGAAACCUAAGCAACUCCAGGCCAGACAGAACUGGCUCAGCUCUCCCUGCCCAGCACUUUGUCCUUAUGGUUUGGGAGAAGCUGAGGGGUAGACUUGCCAGCAAGCUCUUGUUCAGUAUGGCUAUGUGUGUGCAUGUUAAAGUGUGUUGGCGAGCAAGGGAGUACCCUCACUGUUACUGAACCCCAGAAAUCUUGGGGAUGCUACUGUCACACAGAGAUCCCAGACCCAUAGGGAGACCUGCCAAGGACUCCACAACCUAGGGAUCAAUUGUGCAGGGAUGGUCCCUCCAGGAACCCUGUGAAAGGGAACUCCAGGCUAGGCUACACAGAAGGGACCUGUAGGCCUGCACAAGGGCCGAUAGCGCGAACAAGCCUUCCCCACCCAUUACCCAUUCCAUUCAGCUUCCCAUUUGGAGCCUUUCUCAGCCUGAUGAUAGUGUUCUUCCUCCCAGGACCCAUCCCGUCAUAAAGGUCCUAAGGGACCUUCCAAGGCUCUAAGAGAAGAGGGAGCACCCCCAAACCCCUCUAGGAGAAGGCUCAGCUUCUUAGUCACAGAAAAGACUGACCUGAGACCCUGCAGGGCUGACUGUGGGGUCCUUCUCUAGUAACAGGCAUGUCUGCCUCUUCCAGGAGCUCCCUUUCAUAGCAGAUGCUGAAAUGGGAGCAGAGCAGGCUGAAACCGAUCCACAGAGGUACCAGUGAACAUCCAAUCAGAGUGCAGGAGCCUUCAUGCCAGGGCUGGUUCUGCUAGAGCUUGACUCUAGCUGUCCUUGCCUCUGGGGGAAGCAAGCCAAACUCAUGGCUGCUUCCACUCCUGCUCAAUGCUUCCCCUACUCUUCUCACAUUCUGCACUCUUAGGGCCCUAGCUGUCAAUCCUGAUGACACAUGGGCUCACCUGGGAAGCUGUGGUGAAGACCAUUGACUGGGGAACCCACUCUAGACACGGGUAGUUUUGAAAGCUCCAGAUAUUGCUCAUGUGCAACUGAAACCGAGAAGUGUUCUGGGCCUUUCCAGCCCGCGUCAUUAGUAACACUUGGUACACCUAACGUGUCCUAAUUGGUCACCGUUGUACCACAUGACACAUCCACUCACAGCAGAGCCCAGGUCUGAUGCUUCUGUAUUUCCACACUACCUAGCACCAUGGUGACCCAAAGACAUAGGUACCCUUCAAGCAAUCUGAGCUGAAUUCAAGAGGCCUCUUUGGACUGGAGUGAGGUGUUGGCAGUCCUUUCUAGGGAAGUAGCUGUUCAGCUGGCUUCUGCCCUGUCUUCCCAAUGAGACCGCUGUUCAGUUGGCCCAUCCAGAGCAGAAGUCCCACUGGGAACCCAGCCCCUGAGUUAUGAUGGCUAAGUGGCUCUACAGCAUCAUAUGCCACUUAAAUCACAGCUGGGAUUGGUGUGAUGUGAAUGUGGUGGUUGGAAUAGGCUUAACCCUGGGAGUGGCCUUGUUGGAGUAGGUGUGUGGUCUUGGAGGAAGUGUGUCACUGUGGGGGUGGGCUUGGAGACCCUAAGAGCUGCCUUCUCCUGUUUGCCUUCAGAACCAGAUGUAGAACCCUCAGUCCCUCCUCCAGCGCCAUGCCUGCCUGGAUGCUGCCAUGCUUCCUGCCAUAAUGAUAAUGGACUGAAUCUCUGAAUCUCUGAAUCUCUGAACCUGGAGCCAGCUCCAAUUAAAUGUUGUCCUUAUAA
ensembl:antisense Gm37759 predicted gene, 37759